GGAUGGGCAUGCGUCGCAUUAGUUAGUUGGCGGUGUAACGGACCACCAAGACGACGAUGCGUAGGGGUUCUGAGAGGAAGGUCCCCCACACUGGUACUGAGACACGGACCAGACUCCUACGGGAGGCAGCAGUGAGGAAUAUUGGUCAAUGGCCGUAAGGCUGAACCAGCCAAGUAGCGUGAGGGAAGACUGCCCUAUGGGUUGUAAACCUCUUUUAUGCGGGGAUAAAGGUGUCCACGUGUGGAUGUUUGCAGGUACCGCAUGAAUAAGGACCGGCUAAUUCCGUGCCAGCAGCCGCGGUAAUACGGAAGGUCCGGGCGUUAUCCGGAUUUAUUGGGUUUAAAGGGAGCGUAGGCCGGUCUUUAAGCGUGCCGUGAAAUUUUGUGGCUCAACCAUGAGAGUGCGGCGCGAACUGGAGACCUUGAGUGCGCGGAAGGCAGGCGGAAUUCGUGGUGUAGCGGUGAAAUGCUUAGAUAUCACGAAGAACCCCGAUUGCGAAGGCAGCCUGCCGCAGCGUUACUGACGCUGAAGCUCGAAAGCGCGGGUAUCGAACAGGAUUAGAUACCCUGGUAGUCCGCGCGGUAAACGAUGGAUGCCCGCUGUCGGCGAUAUACAGUCGGCGGCCAAGCGAAAGCGUUAGGCAUCC
rnacentral:rRNA from 1 species